ACGGGUGAGUAACGCGUGAGCAACCUGUCUCAGUACAGGGGGAUAACGCACCGAAAGGUGUGCCUAAUACCGCAUAAGACCACAGCCUCGCAUGGGGGAGGGUCAAGGAGCGAUCCGGUAUGAGGUGGGCUCGCGUCUGAUUUAGAUAGUUGGUGAGUAACGGCCCACCAAGUCAACGAUCAGUAGCCGACCUGAGAGGGUGAUCGGCCACAUUGGGACUGAGAGACGGUCCAAACUCCUACGGGAGGCAGCAGUGGGGAAUAUUGGGCAAUGGGCCGCAAGCCUGACCCAGCAACGCCGCGUGAGGGAAGAAGGCCUUUGGGUCGUAAAGCUCUGUCGGGAAGGAAGAUAAUGACGGUACUUCCCGAGGAAGCCCCGGCUAACUACGUGCCAGCCGCUGC
rnacentral:rRNA from 1 species